CCUUCACAGAGAGCCUAAAAAUCAGGCAGGAAAUCAGAUACAAAGAAGAACAUGGGGUAACAAGACAGUGACACUUUCCUGUAAGAAGACCAUAAAUCUUUAUACAAGGGGGCGGACUGGAGAACGUCAGGGGUUUCCAUGUGUGAGUGUUUAAAAUAAAACCUUAUUCAUGCUGGAGUGGGGAAGAAAAGAACUGGCAAGCUGGGAACACAAAAAGAAAAAAGGAGGAACCUUAAAAUAUGAGGUUUGACUGGGUCUUGAGCUCUGAAGAGUCUGCUCAGUUGCUUGAAGCAUGUACAUCCGUGUAGCCAAGGGAGAAACUGACCAAUAGCCUCAAUGGUGAUUAGAAGACAAUUGGUCCCUCGAACUUGUCUUCCAAAGUGAGAGCACCUGGCAGCUUCUGGCAGCUUUCUGUUCCUUCUCUGAAACAAUACAUGCCAUGAUGGUGGGAAAACGGGAUUCCAGCACAGCACUUCUCAGAAAUAACAACAUGAUUGUGACUUCUUUAGUUCAAAGGUCUGAAGCAAUAUGGAAAAG
rnacentral:lncRNA from 1 species